AACGCACAUUGCGCCCUUUGGUAUUCCGAGGGGCACGCCUGUUCGAGCGUCAUUUAAACCAUCAAGCCCUGCUUGGUCUUGGAUGCGGUCGAGUGACCCGUCCGUAACCCGUUGGCGGUGCAGUCCGGCUUCAAGCGUAGCAAGAAUUUCGCUUUAGGAGUCCGCGGGCGGCGUCUGCCAGGAAACACCACCCAGAGUUUGACCUCGGAUCAGGCGAGGAUACCCGCUGAACUUAA
rnacentral:misc_RNA from 1 species